UAUAAUCCACUUUGCAAAAGUCACAGACAGACAGAACUGGCGUAUUAUUAUAUAGAUGAAACACUCAAAUCGUUAUUUUUGUCGAUUUUUUUGAUUUUUAUAUGAAGCCAUUUCUCCUCUCUGGAACUGUUUUCUCUUUAAAUAUGACUUGCUGAUAUUUUAUCACACUGUGAAGGUAACAAAAGUACAAUAGAGAAGCACGCAAGCAACUAUUUAAUAUAAAAAAUUUGGAACUACACCCUUAAGAACAAAAACAAACCACCGUUUUAGUACUCAAGGGGAGUAGAUUUGGAUAAUGGGAUUUUAUGCAACAAGCUUUUCCUCUUAAGCUUAAGAGUCAGCAACAGGAAGAAGGUGUUCGAUCAGUUUUUACGUCUUUCCAGUUUAUUUUAUGGCAAAAAUAACACUAUUAUCUGGCUUUAAGAAAAUAUACGCAGUUUUCGAUAUUUAGACGGCUUUCUCAAUAUAUAAACAAGAUGCAACGGCUGCCAAUAAUAUAUUUUAUAUAUAUCCUACCAUGAAGGAUGUGAUGCAUGGCUAUGAUAUGACUUUUUAUAUUUAUCUAUUAGACACUUGCAUGUGAAAUUUUUAGGUCCCAUACCUCAGAGACCGUUUGGCUAUUUGGCUCGAAACUACCACUUAAAAAUUCUUAUAAAAUCCUUAUUUCCGUGUUUUUCAAUUGGUUUAAUUUUCUUCUGUAACAUUAGCAUAAUCUUUGUAUUAAAUAACUUGCUUGAAAUUUUAACUGUUCUGAUUAUGUUGAAAAAAACUAAUUUACAUUGCUGUUUUUUAAUUUUUGAAAAGCAGUGAGGGAGAUUUCGGUACAAUACAAUAGCAAGGGGCCUGAAAGGUUUUUUCUUUCCUCUACUAUAACAUUCUUGUUUAAGGCAUGUAAUAUAUGAUCUUUCCUAUUAUUUUUUAUUAUCUAGUCCAGUUAAAAUGAGUGCAAUUGAUUAUUCAAAAUGGAAUAACAUUUAUGACAGUAGUGAUGAAGACGAGGAUGAAGUAAGUUCAGAUUCACAUUUGACAUGUGACACUAGGUGUACAAAGCAUGAACAUAUUGAAUUUAUUUAUCCCUUUUGUCAACUGCUUUGACGAAAAUCCAAUAUUCCAAUGGGGGUUGCCAACUAGACAUGAAGGCCUUAUGACUUCAAUUUACAGGAAGAUUAAUACCUAAAAUUUGUAUUGUAAUGGUUCAGAGGAAUUUGUUGACACUCCUGAAGUACAGUUUGUAAAACAGCUAAUCAAGCAAAGAGAAAAGCAUUUUGCCAAACGGAAGCUAGAUCCUGCUAUAAAUCAAAACCUGAAGCGGGAUUACAUAAUAAACAUAAAAUUGAUUGAAACUUUUCCAUCUGUUUGGAGACGUUUUAAAGUAUCGGGUGGUGUCACCCUGAGUGUGUUUCAAGAUAAAAUAAUUUCCCCAGUUAUGGGUUGGACGCGUAACUACCAUGCACAUUAUUUUACAUAUUUGAAAGAUGGAUCAUUGUUUGGAAGCACAAUAUCUGAUGCCAUAGACAUGUGCUGGUUAUAUAAUAAUGGUUAUCAUUGGAUCGAUGAUAAAAAGUGGAAUUUGGGAUAAAAUAAUAAAACCAGGAGAGCGAUUUGCGUACACUUACGAUCUUGGUGACCGUUGGGAGCAUGAAAUUGAAGUGGAAAAAAUAUUGCCAUAAUUAUUUUGUGUCGCUUACUUACUUCGUUUAGCCCUGUGAAAUUAAUAAUGUGUUGAAUUGUAAAUGAUUGUUUACACAGUAUUGCAAUGUUAAAGGAGCUGACAGAUGACUUUUAGAAAGAGUUGAACUUGAGUUGAAGUUGAACAAUGUUGUUGAAGUAUUUGUACAGAAAUUUAAUUUUAUUGAAGUCUGUUGCCAGUCAACUAAAACUAGCAAUUUAACCUGCAUGUGCUAAUAAUUUUACGAAUGGCAAAAUAUUCAGUUACAAUUAGUUGUUAUUAUACAUCAGUGUGAAAGAGUCUGAUGGAAAGUGUGUUGUAUUAGUUGGUUGCAUGAAUUGUCCACCUGAAGAUUCCAACGGGUGUGAUGGCAAAGGCAAUGAUGCAUUUUACUGACUAGUGAGCAGAUUACCCAAUAAACGAAAUUGGAAAGGACCGCAUGGCAAAAAUAUUUCUAGGAAAUUAAAGAAAAAGUUACGAGAAGCUGGUACUGCUUUGAAUGUUAAAG